CUUUCUCCUGUUCAACAUCAGACGCAGAGAAGGAAGAAGAGAAGAUAAUUCUGCAGCAGGUCAUCAUUUUGGACAUUGCAUGAACUUCACCAUGAAGAUACUAGCUGUGUCUGUACUUCUUGUUGCCAUGAUGGCUCUGGCUCUGGCUACUGAAGCUCCUCCAGAAGCAGAGGCAGCUGCGGUGACAGAAGCACCAGUUCAAGAAGAUGAAGCAGCUGAUGACAGUUCAAGUGA